rnacentral:ncRNA from 1 species
UCAAACCAAGGGCAAACCCAUUUAACGAUGAGGACGCAAAGCCAUAGGGUCUAAAGUGCGUAAAAGUGCGCUAUGACAGCCUGGCUGCCGGA